UACGGAGGGUGCAAGCGUUAAUCGGAAUUACUGGGCGUAAAGCGCGCGUAGGCGGUUAUGUAAGCUAGAUGUGAAAUCCCCGGGCUUAACCUGGGAACUGCAUUUAGAACUGCAUGGCUAGAGUUUUGGAGAGGAGAGUAGAAUUCCCGGUGUAGCGGUGAAAUGCGUAGAGAUCGGGAGGAAUACCAGUGGCGAAGGCGGCUCUCUGGCCAAAAACUGACGCUGAGGUGCGAAAGCGUGGGGAGCAAACAGG
rnacentral:misc_RNA from 1 species